UAGUUCUGAGUCAACCGUAUGUAGUCUGUGUCGUGACAAACAUGAUCACAUUUAUAAAUGUAGGGUUUUUAAUAGUUAUAAACCGAAUGAGCGGUUUCAAUUCGUCAAAUCGAACAAUUUAUGUAUAAAUUGUUUAAGUAGCGGUCAUCGUGUUUCCGCGUGUAGGUCGUCCUCUUUAUGUAAAAAAUGUAAUUCUAAGCAUCACACUUUAUUAUGUUUCGGAAUUGAACCCGUCGCGAGUAAAGCGCAUUCGAAUGCUAGACGCACGCAGUCACCAGGUACUCGAGCAUCGGCUGUCGCACGGCCCUCCAUGCCUUCUUCGGUAGGCUUAAAUGAUAUGGGCAUUGCUCCAGCUCGCGUCAGCACGGAUGGCGUAACGCUGUGCACUUUAUCAAAAGGUUAUAACCGCAUCUUACGCAGUCCUACUACAGUACUAAUUGCGACCGCACGUGUAGUUAUUAUUGAUUCACGUGGUAGGGAGCAUUGUGUACGCGCGUUGUUGGAUGGCGCGUCUCAAAGCAAUUUUGUCACUCGUGAUUGUUGUCGACGAUUGGGUUUGAACAUAAAUAAUAGACCUGCUUGUUCCGUAGUAAAGGGAAUAGGAGGUUCUAGCAAAACAAUUGAAGGUUCUGUAGAAAUAAAAUUUUAUUCUCGUUUCGAUCGUAACGUAAAUUAUACUAUGGAGUCGUUAGUAGUAGAUAAAAUUACUGAACGUUUACCGACUACCACAGUUGAUGCCUCUCUUUUAUCGAAUUUCGAAGACAUAGCAUUGGCAGACGAUACUUACUUUAACCCAGGCCCGAUCCAACUGUUGAUUGGAGCUUCGAUUUUCCCGCAUCUGCUCUUAUCGAACAAGGUUCAAGGACGGCCUUCGCAUGCCUCGCCGAUCGCGUUAGAGACUAUCCUCGGUUAUGUUAUUGUUGGUGACGCUCCCGUUCGUGUAGCUAGCAACGAGAGCGUUUCAUAUUGCUGUACCGGAGACCCGUUAGACUCCACGAUUCGGAAGUUUUGGGAAUUAGAGGAGGUAGACGUGCCGUCUGUACUCAGCCCCGAGGACAAAAUGUCUGAGGAGUUUUAUACCAGUACUACCACACGAGAUAGUGACGGACGAUACGUGGUGGCUUUGCCCUUUAAAGAUGAUGUUAACACUCUCGGUAAUUCGCGUCAAGCAAGUGAAAAUCGAUUUUACUGCUUAGAAAGAAAGAUGCAAGCUUCUCCGCAGCUAAAAUUAGCGUACGACAACAUCAUUCUCGAAUAUUUAGAGAAGAACUAUCUCUCAGCUGUAGAUUGUGACAGUUCAGAUAUUUCUUAUUUUAUUCCGCAUCAUGGUGUAAUCAGACAAGAUAAGGUCACAACCAAAUUAAAAGUCGUACUCGAUGGUAGUUGUAAGACUACUACUAAUGUUUUGCUCAAUGAUCUGUUAUAUCGUGGACAAAAUUUCCAAGGAAAUUUAUUUAAUAUUAUUAUUAAUUUUCGUUUGUUUCCGGUUGCCCUUUCCGCUGACAUUCGUCAGAUGUUUCUGAGUAUUGGAGUCAGAGAAUCUGACAGGCGUUUUCAACGCAUUCUAUAUCGUUUUUCUCCUCAACAACCAUUACAAGUUUACGAAUUUAAUCGUGUAGUUUUCGGGCUUAAGUCUAGUCCUUUUCAUGCGUUGCGUACUAUUAAACAGCUGGCAGCUGAUGAAGGUGUCGCUUACCCGCGGGCCAGAGAAAUUAUUGAUACUAGCCUAUAUAUGGACGAUUUUGUUUAUUCAAUUCCAACUGAAGACAUCGGCAUAUCGACCGCUUCUGAUAUGAUAGGUCUCAUGAAGGCCGGUCAGUUCGAGCUGGUGAAGUGGACGAGUAACUCACAAGUAGUGUUAGAUUCGAUCCCGCCGUCGCAUCGCCUGCCAGGUGUCAAGGAGUUCGAUGAGUCGAACCAGCAUAAAGUACUCGGCUUGUGUUGGUCUCCUACGUCGGAUAGUUUUUGUAUAAAAAUUUACACUCCGAUUGAAAUUUGUACUAAACGUACAAUACUGUCAUGUGUUGCUAAAAUAUGGGACGUCAUGGGAUUUGUCGCACCGGUCGUCCUGUUCGUUAAACUUAUUAUUAAGCAGUUGUGGCUGAGCAAUUGUGACUGGGAUGACACUCCAUCCGAAGAUAUAGUAAAAAUGUGGAGCCGAUUCAAAGAAGAACUUCCUUUGCUUUCUCAUAUAAAGAUCCCACGUCACGUAGGUAUGAACGUCGACAGCAUCGUGACUAUCUUAGGUUUCGCGGACGCCAGUGAGAAAGCAUAUGGGGGGGUGAUAUAUUUUCACGUUCAAAAUAACAAUGAUAGUACAAUACGUUUGAUAACAGCAAAAUCAAAGGUUUCUCCUAAAAAGGUUGUGUCGCUCGCCAGACUUGAGCUUUGCGCGAUUCUCAUACUCGCUCAGCUCAUAAAAAAUGUAGUAGUCGCUUGUCAAAAUCGCAUUGUUUUUCGCAAUAUAUUCGCGUUUUCAGACUCAACAGUCGCACUUUGUUGGACACAUUCAUCGCCUCAUCGAUGGAGCACCUUUGUGGCUAACAGAGUGACGAAGAUACAAAGCUAUUUAUCUCCACAAAAUCUAUAUCACGUGUCUGGUAAAGACAAUCCCGCUGAUUGUUUGUCGCGUGGCCUCACUCCUUCCCAAAUAAUUAAUCACCCGCUUUGGUUUAGUGGCCCCUCUUGGGCACAUUUGGAUGUCGCGCAGUGGCCUGCUGUUCCUUUUAAUCCUUCCGUAGAGCCGGAGCCGCCGGAAGAAAAGAAACAGACUUUUCUCGCCGCUACUUUAAAUGAAAAAUCUCCUAUAUUAUCACUAGGAAAUCGUAUCUCAUCUUGGUCUAAACUAUUGCGCAGUGUAGUUUUCGUUUGUCGAUUUGUAAAAUUGUUACCUCACAGAUAUCGCAUGUCAGCAUCGGAUUAUGAGUUCGCUGAGUUAUUAAUUCUUCGUGAACUUCAACGGUUUUAUUUUCGCGCUGAGAUCGCGAAGCUCGAGGAAGGUCAAGUUUGUAGCCAUGCAUUUCGACACUUAAAACCAUUUCUUAAAGAUGGACUAAUUAGAGUAGGGGGACGUUUAAGAAACUCUGACUUGAGCUACGACGAGAAAUAUCCCAUUUUGCUUCCGAGAAAAGAUCCGAUCUUGAAUUUACUUGUCGAAUAUCAUCAUAUAUUAAAUUGUCACGCCGGUCCUGACCUGCUGAUGGCGCUCUUACGUCAGAAGUAUUGGAUACUUUCUGCUCGUAAUUUAAUUAGGAAUAGGAUACACAAAUGCAUGCCUUGCUUUCGACUUCGUCCUAAGCCAACAUUCCCUGAAAUGGCGGAUCAUCGUUCUUGUCGUGUCGUUCAAUCCGCUAAACCCUUCAUUCACACGGGUACAGAUUAUGCUGGCCCUUUCAAGGUUACCAUAACACGUGGGCGUGGUAUUCGUUCUACCAAAGCUUACGUGUGUUUAUUUGUUUGCAUGACUACGCGCGCAGUACAUAUAGAACUGGCUGGUGAUUUAAGCACAGCUAGUUUCAUGGGAGCCUUCAAGCGGUUCCUAUCUAGACGAGGCCCGGUGGGUAGAAUUUAUUCGGACAAUGGAACGAAUUAUAUAGGUGCUAAACGCAAGCUUUCAGAACUUCAUGAAUUUCUUAGUUCAAAGUAUCAUAAUACAGAGUUUGGUAACGUCUUAGCUGAAAAUCGCAUUGAUUGGUCCCUAAAUGUACCGACAGCUAGCCAUUUUGGCGGGAAUUGGGAGGCUAAUAUCAAAAGCUUAAAGUCACAUCUAUAUCGCGUUAUAGGUGAUACAAUUCUUUCGUUUGAAGAGCUAUGUACUGUUCUCAGUCAGAUCGAAUCGGUAAUGAAUACACGACCUUUAUGUGGAACACUCUCUAGUGAUCCUUCAGAACCGCUUGCCUUAACUCCUGCGCAUUUUUUGAAUCUCACGCCUUUGAAAUGCUUGCCUGCGGAAGAAAUCGAUGAAAAUUUAACUACUCUUGCUAGACACGAUUUGCUAGACAAAUUAGUUCAAUCGUUUUGGAAGCGCUGGAGACGGGAAUACCUUCAUACGUUGCAAUCACGCCGCAAAUGGAACACGCCGGUCGAUCCAGUCGUCGUCGGCUCGGUGGUGAUUCUGAUUAACGAUAAUUCGCCUCCUCUACACUGGCCUUUGGGUGUCGUGGAAGAAGUGUUUCCGGACUCUACGGGAGUUACACGCAUUGCACGGGUUAAGACAGCGAUCGGAUCGUAUUUGCGUCCCGUGGUGCGACUCUGCCCACUACCCAACCAGUAGCACAUUUAGAUUUUUCAUAUUAUUUAGGUUAGUUGUAUAUAGAUAUAGUAUAAAUUCUUAAUUCUUGUAGGAACAUAGCGUAAUAGUAGAUAAACGUAGCGUACUUAUUUGAAUUUAUUGUUAUUCGUUUGUUAGAUAAUACACUUUUUAGUUUUUUAGUUAGAUAAUACACGUUUUAGUUAGAUAAUACUUUGAAGGCGUCCCUUCAAGCCCGGGGGAAUGGUUGCGCUGGUUUAAAACUUAGUUAGUUUUAGGUUUCGAAAAAUAGCAACAUUUUAAUUUGGUUUUGCAAAUCCUGUCCCAUCCCUCUCCGGCACUUUACCUACGGACGCAUGCGAGCGAGAUCGUGUGGUGACAUCGAGACGAAAAAAUAUGGCUGAACAACCGCGCGCGCGCUUCGUGUCUUUGUUAUGUUAAAUACGUAAAUAAGUGAAAUCGUUGGUGUUUCUCAUCGCGGAGUGGUACGAGUCUGCAGCAAGGACUACAUAAAGAUCUCGUUACACUGCAUGCGGUGUUGUGGUACGCUGCGGUGGGACAGCCAGACCCUUGUAUCCGUACCGUCUGGCGGCAGCGGACGACGACUGCUGUGCGCCGGGCGCCUGGCCCCCACCUGCCGCACCCCCUCCUCGAC